UACGUAGGGUGCAAGCGUUAAUCGGAAUUACUGGGCGUAAAGCGUGCGCAGGCGGUGAUGUAAGACAGAUGUGAAGUCCCCGGGCUCAACCUGGGAACUGCAUUUGUGACUGCAUCGCUAGAGUACGGUAGAGGGGGAUGGAAUUCCGCGUGUAGCAGUGAAAUGCGUAGAUAUGCGGAGGAACACCGAUGGCGAAGGCAAUCCCCUGGACCUGUACUGACGCUCAUGCACGAAAGCGUGGGGAGCAAACAGG
rnacentral:rRNA from 1 species